rnacentral:rRNA from 1 species
CAGUCGCCGCGGGAAUACGAAGGGUGCAAGCGUUAAUCGGAAUUACUGGGCGUAAAGCGUGCGUAGGCGGUUUGUUAAGUCUGCUGUGAAAUCCCCGGGCUCAACCUGGGAAUGGCAGUGGAUACUGGCAAGCUAGAGUGUGGUAGAGGAUAGUGGAAUUUCCGGUGUAGCAGUGAAAUGCGUAGAGAUCGGAAGGAACAUCUGUGGCGAAGGCGACUAUCUGGGCCAACACUGACACUGAGGCACGAAAGCGUGGGGAGCAAACAGGAUUAGAUACCCCCGUAGUCCCUGUCUCUUAUAC